GACGGGACCCGCACAAGCGUGGAUGAUGUGGAUUAAUUCGAUGCAACGCGAAGAACCUUACUACCCUUGACAUGUCCGGAACUUGCCAGAGAUGGCUUUGGUGCCCGAAAGGGAAUCGGAACACAGGUGCUGCAUGGCUGUCGUCAGCUCGUGUCGUGAGAUGUUGGGUUAAGUCCCGCAACGAGCGCAACCCUUAUCAUUAGUUGCUACGCAAGGGCACUCUAAUGAGACUGCCGGUGACAAACCGGAGGAAGGUGGGGAUGACGUCAAGUCCUCAUGGCCCUUAUGGGUAGGGCUUCACACGUCAUACAAUGGUCGGUACAGAGGGUUGCCAAGCCGCGAGGCGGAGCCAAUCCCACAAAGCCGAUCGUAGUCCGGAUUGUUCUCUGCAACUCGAGAGCAUGAAGUCGGAAUCGCUAGUAAUCGCAGGUCAGCAUACUGCGGUGAAUACGUUCCCGGGUCUU
rnacentral:rRNA from 1 species